CGGACGGGUGAGUAACGCGUGGAAAACCUGCCGUAUACUGGGGGAUAACACUUAGAAAUAGGUGCUAAUACCGCAUAAGCGCACAGCUUCGCAUGAAGCGGUGUGAAAAACUCUGGUGGCAUACGAUGGUUCCGCGUCUGAUUAGCUAGUUGGUGGGGUAAUGGCCUACCAAGGCAACGAUCAGUAGCCGGCCUGAGAGGGUGAACGGCCACAUUGGGACUGAGACACGGCCCAAACUCCUACGGGAGGCAGCAG
rnacentral:rRNA from 1 species